rnacentral:pre_miRNA from 1 species
AUUUUUCGUGUACCCUCAAAGGCUUCCAGUAUUCAGUAAGCUAAGAUGCUUGAAUGAAUGCUGGAAGCUUUUGAAGGAAUUUGAAACCU